UACGGGGGGGGCAAGCGUUGUUCGGAAUUACUGGGCGUAAAGGGCUCGUAGGUGGCCAACUAAGUCAGACGUGAAAUCCCUCAGCUUAACUGGGGAACUGCGUCUGAUACUGGAUGGCUUGAGUUUGGGAGAGGGAUGCGGAAUUCCAGGUGUAGCGGUGAAAUGCGUAGAUAUCUGGAGGAACACCGAAGGCGAAGGCAGUGUCCUGGGGAGUACCUGACGCUCAGGUGCGAAAGCCAGGGGAGCGAACGGG
rnacentral:rRNA from 1 species